rnacentral:lncRNA from 1 species
UCCUGGCCUCAGGUGAUCCACCCACUUCGGCCUCCCAAACUGUUGGGAUUACAGGCGUGAGCCAUCAAGCCUGACCUCAAGUUCCCUCUUUCUAAUCUGGAAUUGAGAAUAGCACUAGCAUCCAGGCCCACCUCAAAGGGUCAGACUGAAGUUCAGAUGGCCCAAGGAUGCACUAGAAAGUUCUUUAUGCAAUGUAAAUGAGAGUUGCCUACUCUUGUCAGGCUCAAGUACCUUCACUCUACAGGCAACUGGCUACAGGCUUCUCACCCUGAGCGGUGGUCAGCUCAGCCAACUCACCCUCUCCACCCUCCUCCCUCCCUCCUUUUUCACAGGAAACUUAAGAGUCAGAUCUCUUCCACUGCAAAUGGAGAUUCUUGAUUUGGAGAGAAUAAGAUAAAGGACCUGACAUCAAUCCUUACUCUUGAAAGCAUGUUGUUACUUUCUAAAUAUUAUUGAAAUUAAAAAAAAAAAAUCUUCCCCCCAAAUCAGUAUAUUUGAAUUGCUAACAAGCCUCUCUGCCUUGUUUUUAUCUCAAAGAAUAAAAUGCUGAGCCCUGCGUGGGAUGCUAGAUGCUAGAGAACUCCCCCAUCUCUCUCUCUCUCUCUCUCUCUCUCUCUCUCUCUCUCUCUCUCUCUCUCUCUCAGUUCUGAACAAGGAGGGAAGGGGUAAAGAGUCCUUAGUGAGCGCCUUCUGCAGGGACAACCCUUCUGGACCCAUCUGGAUGGGAGCAGCCAGGAGAGGCAAGAAGCAGCUGUAUUUGGUGGCACUGCCACAGCGUCUCCUCAGCCCCAGCAAGUGGCCUUUGGUCUAGAGUUGGUCCAUCUGGCCCGCACAAGGCUCGAAUCCAGCCCUAGAGACGCUCCCCGCCUGCUCCAGGUGGCCGGCACCCUAGACGGGGCAGGAAGGGCAGGCGCCAAGCCUCAAGUCUCAAACACGGUGCGGGGCUGCGCGGCAAGGAGAAACCCAGGAGAUGCUCGGGGUCGGGGCCCAGGGCAGGGAAAACCCUCAGCUCUGGUCAAAAGCCAAGUGAGCGAAGGAGGCGAUGCAACGUCACCCUGGUGGCCAAGGCAGGCACCCAGGUCUCGAGGUUCCAGGAGAGGGACGCGCUGUGACCACCAGCCCCCUAGGCUCCUGUCUGCUCGAUGAGCGUCCACUCGCCAGUUCCAGCCGCGAGCGCCCCCAGCACUCCCGGAGCUGGGCCGGGCGCCGCCUUCCCUCGGGCGGCCGGCAGGGGUCAGUGUUUGGCCGCAGGUGAACAGACAGCGGCCGGGGCUGAAUCUGGUUCUUCUAGCUGGGUCUUGCCCCUGCCAAUCUGUCUGGACUUGUCCCCUGGCCGUUAACUGGGUUCUAGCCUAUCGAGACUCCUCAUAUUCUCCCCACCCCCGACCACUACCUCCAUACUGUCCUUCCUAAGUCACCAGGCCUGCACCCUUCCAGAAGCAUAGAUCCCUGGAUACAUGGAUAAUUACUUCCUGGCCUUAUACCAGACAGUGAUGCGAGACUGGAAAGAGGACAUGGCACGGAGUCAGAAGAUUUGAGUUCAAGUUCCUGCUCUGCCAAUUACCAGCUGUGUGAUCUUGGUCCAGCCGAGCUGCCAUCUCUUCAAGGAAGUUUUCCCUGAAGCCCUCAGGUAGACCCGUUUUUCCAUGGCGGCCACAUCAGCAUGCAGCACAUUUAAUUGGAAGUCUCCACAUAUGAGUUGGUUUUCCUUACUUAAAAUAUGCUUAUCAUCCCUUGGAGGUCUGAUGCAUUUUUCUGUCUCUGCAGACCAGCUCCUCCCCCCUCCAAAUCUCAAUGGAAGAAUGCGACAUUCUGGAUUCAGCUACCCAAAGAGGGGUUUUUUCCCCCUCUUUGUCUCUAUUAUACAUUUUAUAGGAAGGAAUUCUGUCCCAGUUAAUUCAAACUGGGACCAGAGGAACAGGGUCCCGCUGCUCAAAAUGGCUGUCACCCGUGGGUAAGGGGAGCAGUCAGAGAGUCAUUGUGACUGGGGUGGCAGUCCCACUCCAAUCUGCCUUGUGGCUUCCUAGCCUGCAACAUACAUCCUCCCAGACAUACAAAAUGUGCCUCUGCCUGAGUCUUCCUGGCAGGGAGUUUGGUACCCCCCAACAUUGGGAGGGGAGCUUACAACACAGGACUAUCUCUUCCCAUAGAUAAUCUCCUCACAAAGCUCCACUCAGGACCACUUAUAUUCUUGAGCACUUGAAAAUAUUGGCUAUUUCCUUCUGACCCCCAUGGUUUCUUUUAAAAAAUUUGCUGUUGUUUGAAUUAUUUUUCUCUACAGGUAUUGACUGCUGCCUCAUGAAGGCUGGUCCUGUCUCUAUAGUGAAUAUUGUGCACCUCAGGGUAGAAUGGAGAGCAGAAGACUUCAAAUCAGGCAGUCUGGGUUCAGACCCCAAUUCUAGUGCUAAAUAGCUACGUGACUUUAGGCCGAUUGUGUGUGACUUCCCUGAGCCCCAGUCUCUUUGCCUGCAAAAUGAGAAAAAUUAUAACAAUGUCAUCGGUUGUUCUGAGGAUUCUGAGAGGAAUUAGUAGGAGAGAGAACUAAGAAGCUGCGGGCCUCUACAGAGCCAUUCAACUGGCAUUUCGGAAGAUGUUGCCCAUCAGAGUCAGACCUUCUUAGCAUCUUCCGGCUGGGCCCAAACUUCCCAAGACCAUUUGGACAAGGUCAUCUCUAUCCCACCAUGGCCUCCUCCCAGAGGAGGAGAAGAAUCAUGCUGUUACAGCAGAACCGAAGAUUUGGGCAAGGGAGCUAAUGAUUAUGUUCUGCGUCAGGUCAGAGAUGGGCUGGGAAAGCCACUCCAAAGCCAAGACAAGCAGUUUCCUGGAAAAAGAAGGCUGCGCGGAGCCCAGAGUGGCCUGGAUCCUGCCUCAUUUCCUGGACCAGCUCCUUAGGUGGUUACUGGAUUGCCAAUAAAGCAGAGCUUAUUAAAGUCAACGAGCUCAGGCUUCAUCGCCGCCAUGGUAUCCAAGCACCAGUCUGUCUGGGAUUUCAUUUGCCAGAUGGACAAAGGAGAGGUUGUUCCAAUACAUAUCCUGAGUGGUGGGGGUGGGGAGAGAAGGGGAAGAAUGCUCUCUAGAGAAUUCUCUUUGUCCUCUGAAGUAAAUAGAGAUCAUGUCUUCCCCAGCCACACUCAGUGAUCUGAAUCUCUUGGACUGUGGAUUUUUCCUUUACCUGCUGUGAAGCCUUGAAAAGUAUGAAUUAGCUUGAUAAUGAUCCUCUAAAGAUGUUCAAGAGUUAAAGACGUGUUUAAGUUCUUCAGGCAAUCCAAUAUGACUACGGGUUUCCAAAAAUUUGAAGGAAACUGAAAAUCAUAGUUCCCAAACCAGAUAUUUUCCGGUGUCCAGAUGUUCACUGGCAUGCAAACCAAAUGUCUGGAUUAUGAGCUCCUUUUUUCAUUUCUUUUUAUCAGCUUACAUCCAGAUGUUGGAUCCAACUGGUCAGAGGCCUGGGGCAGAGACAGAAAUCAAAUCUAGGGUGUUCAUCUAGAGUCUCCUGCUCCUCCAUUCCUGCUUCCUCCUCACGCUGCCCCCACAUCCUCCCCAACUCACCUUCAUGCUACAUCUCGGCAAAUACAGCUCAUAUCCAGGCACGGUGCAGCCCUUGACAGCUGGGUCCGCAAAGGCAGAUCGGGUAUAUCUUUAAAGAAAAGUUAUCUUAACCAUUGAGAAGCCUUCCUUCCUCAGAGGAGAGCACCUCCCCAGCAGACCUCCGAGGAGACCAAGGGCAGGACAGGAAGGGUGAAAGGAAGUUUCAGGACUGCAGGAAAUAAGAGCUUGGAGGUCAAGGGAGAGAUCAGAUAAAACAUGAAUCUGAUCAGCAUCCUAGUGGUCUAGAGUGGAGACAAUCUGCGGAGUCAACCUCAGUAAGGACACACAUAGAGAAGAACCAAAGCCUCUAAAGACGAAGCUGAGAAGUGUACGGUCGUAGAAGACUCGUGUCUGUUAUUCUUAAAAGCUCAAGGAGAUGUUCUGCCAAUUGAAUGGAAACUGUCCAUAGUGGGGAGCAGAGAGCCUCAUCUUUUCUGGAACUGAACAUCCAUCCUUAAGGCCAGAUUUCUCCCAUCACCAACUUUAACUCCUGCCCUAGCCCUCUCUCUUCCUUUUCAAAACCCUCUCCACCCAGGAAGGGAGAUUCUGGAGCCAAGACUGUACCAGCCACACCUCCCCAGAGUUGUUAAGGAAGGAACUCGAAGCCAGGGGUGGUCUUCUGGCAAGCACCCCCACUACCAGUAGCAGGACAGAUGUGUUUCUAAUGGACUACACUAUCCCCGGAGGUCACAUGAUUCAGGCUGCCAAGGGUACCUGCCCUUGGGAAAUCAACUCCCGAAGAUAAAUUGGGAUUGGGUCCUGAGAAGAUCCAUGGAAGCCCAGAGGACCCUGCCUCUCUCUGUUGCUUCAUGCUGUAGAGGCAGUACUGGGGAGGGCCUGCCCCACAUCCGGCAGGGCAGCUGGAACCAUGUGUUUGAUGACACUCUGCUCCCUCAAUGUGGAGCCUCAUCCUCAUCUCACAGUCUAGCAGGCCUCUGGUGGGUUAGGCUUGUCUCACCCAGUGUGUGAGUUUUUUUGGAAGUGACCUGAUUUUGGAGUUUCCCUCCAAGCCUUUCUCAGGUACAUGCUUUCUCUUUUAUUCUGUCUUCUUUUUUUGAUCUUCUUAAAUCUGAUUUUCUCCUUUUUCCCUCUCUUGUCUCCAUCUUUUUUCCAGUCUCUCGCUUCUCUUUAUUUCUCCCCAUAUUUCACUCUGUUCUCUCACCCCAACCUUUCCCUUCUGUUUCUCUCCCUCCCUCUCUUCCCACCCCCUGCCUGGCCUUCCAUAUAUCAAGCAGAGUUUUAUCACCUUAUGCAGGGGCAGCCCUGCCACCUGCCAUAAAGUUGAUAGGCUAAUGACAUUUUGUGGAUAUUGCCAUGUCACAAGUCCAGGACAGCAUCAAAAAUAGCCCUGAUGUCUAAACCACUUCAGCUAUCUUUUUUAUUUUUAAAAUAAAUACAUUCACAUGCUUUUAAGAAACUAUAAAAAUAUAUAAAGUAAAAAGAUCUUUCUCUCACACUGUCUCCACCUCUCCUGGUCUCACCGUUGUGCUUAGGGGAAACCAUUGUGAUUAGUUUCUCCUGUGUCCUUCCAGAGUGUCUUUAUGCAAAUGAAAAUUAUUGUGAUAAUAUAUUCCUAUUUUCCCCCUUACUACACAAAAGAUAGACUACCAUAAUCCCAUUCUGCACUUUUUUUUCACUUGAUAAUAAAAACAUGAUUU